rnacentral:rRNA from 1 species
GACGAACGCUGGCGGCGUGCUUAACACAUGCAAGUCGAACGAAGUGGCGAACGGGUGAGUAACGCGUAAUCAACCUGCCCUUCAGAGGGGGACAACAGUUGGCAACGACUGCUAAUACCGCAUACUUACGGAGGGGAUUGCGUCUGAUGAGCUAGUGGGAGGGGUAACGGCCAACCAAGGCGAUGAUCAUUAGCCGGUCGGAGAGGAUGAACGGCCACAGUGGGACGGAGACACGGCCCAGACUCCGACGGGAGGCAGCAGUGGGGAAUCUUCCGCAAUGGACGAAAGGCUGACGGAGCAACGCCGCGUGAGUGAUGACGGCCUUCGGGUUGUAAAGCUCUGUUAAUCGGGACGCGGUACCGGAAUAGAAAGCCACGGCUAACUACGUGCCAGCAGCCGCGUAAUUC